rnacentral:rRNA from 1 species
GACGAACGCUGGCGGCGUGCUUAACACAUGCAAGUCGAGCGGAAAGGCCACUUCGGUGGUACUCGAGCGGCGAACGGGUGAGUAACACGUGAGUAAUCUGCCCUUGGCUUUGGGAUAGCCACCGGAAACGGUGAUUAAUACCGGAUACGACACAGGUCUGCAUGGGCCCUGUGUGGAAAGUUUUUUCGGCCAGGGAUGUGCUCGCGGCCUAUCAGCUUGUUGGUGGGGUAAUGGCCUACCAAGGCGUCGACGGGUAGCCGGCCUGAGAGGGUGACCGGCCACACUGGGACUGAGACACGGCCCAGACUCCUACGGGAGGCAGCAGUGGGGAAUAUUGGACAAUGGGCGGAAGCCUGAUCCAGCAACGCCGCGUGAGGGAUGACGGCCUUCGGGUUGUAAACCUCUUUCAGUAGGGACGAAGCGCAAGUGACGGUACCUACAGAAGAAGCACCGGCCAACUACGUGCCAGCAGCCGCAGUAACAC